rnacentral:rRNA from 1 species
CUUAACACAUGCAAGUCGAGGGGCAGCAUGGUCUUAGCUUGCUAAGGCCGAUGGCGACCGGCGCACGGGUGAGUAACACGUAUCCAACCUGCCGUCUACUCUUGGACAGCCUUCUGAAAGGAAGAUUAAUACAAGAUGGCAUCAUGAGUUCACAUGUUCACAUGAUUAAAGGUAUUCCGGUAGACGAUGGGGAUGCGUUCCAUUAGAUAGUAGGCGGGGUAACGGCCCACCUAGUCUUCGAUGGAUAGGGGUUCUGAGAGGAAGGUCCCCCACAUUGGAACUGAGACACGGUCCAAACUCCUACGGGAGGCAGCAGUGAGGAAUAUUGGUCAAUGGGCGAGAGCCUGAACCAGCCAAGUAGCGUGAAGGAUGACUGCCCUAUGGGUUGUAAACUUCUUUUAUAAAGGAAUAAAGUCGGGUAUGGAUACCCGUUUGCAUGUACUUUAUGAAUAAGGAUCGGCUAACUCCGUGCCAGCAGCCGCGGUAAUACGGAGGAUCCGAGCGUUAUCCGGAUUUAUUGGGUUUAAAGGGAGCGUAGAUGGAUGUUUAAGUCAGUUGUGAAAGUUUGCGGCUCAACCGUAAAAUUGCAGUUGAUACUGGAUAUCUUGAGUGCAGUUGAGGCAGGCGGAAUUCGUGGUGUAGCGGUGAAAUGCUUAGAUAUCACGAAGAACUCCGAUUGCGAAGGCAGCCUGCUAAGCUGCAACUG